GAUGAAGAACGUAGCGAAAUGCGAUAAGUAAUGUGAAUUGCAGAAUUCAGUGAAUCAUCGAAUCUUUGAACGCACAUUGCGCCCCUUGGUAUUCCUUAGGGCAUGCCUGUUCGAGCGUCAUUUGAAACCUCAAGCUCAGCUUGGUGUUGGGUGUCUGUCCCCGCCUCACCGCGGGGACUCGCCUCAAAAUCAUUGGCGGCCGGUACGUUGGCUUCGAGCGCAGCAGAAACGCGAACUCGAGGCCCGGCGGAUCGGCGACCAGAAGUCACUUCUUCACAGUUUGACCUCGGAUCAGGUAGGGAUACCCGCUGAACUUAAGCAUAUCAAUAAGCGGAGGA
rnacentral:misc_RNA from 1 species